GACGAACGCUGGCGGCGUGCUUAACACAUGCAAGUCGAACGGAAAGGCCCUGCUUUUGUGGGGUGCUCGAGUGGCGAACGGGUGAGUAACACGUGAGUAACCUGCCCUUGACUUUGGGAUAACUUCAGGAAACUGGGGCUAAUACCGGAUAGGAGCUCGUGCUGCAUGGUGGGGGUUGGAGAGUUUCGGCGGUUGGGGAUGGACUCGCGGCUUAUGAGCUUGUUGGUGGGGUAGUGGCUUACCAAGGCUUUGGCGGGUAGCCGGCCUGAGAGGGUGACGGGACACAUUGGGACUGAGAUACCGCACAGACUCCUGCGGGAGGGAGCAGUGGGGAAUAUUGCACAAGGGGCGGAAGCCUGAUGCAGCAACGCCGCGUGCGGGAUGACGGCCUUCGGGUUGUAAACCGUUUUCGCCGGUGACGAAGCGUGAGUGACGGUAAUGGGUAAAGAAGCACCGGCUAACUACGUG
rnacentral:rRNA from 1 species